rnacentral:tRNA from 1 species
GCAACAGUAGCUUAACGUCCAAAAGCACCGGUCUUGUAAACCGGCAGAUGGAGGUUCAACCCCCCCCUCUUGCU